CUUCUUUUCAUCUAUAUGGUCGAGAAACGAUUGUCCAAAACUGCCAGUCUGUUUCCUGACAUGCGAAGGAUCAACGUCAUAGAAUAUCGGCAAAACUAAUUGCCCCCGAUUUCUUCUACACUCCAUGAUCUUAACCAGCUCCUCGAGGCACCAGCUGGAGUUCGCAUACCGUCUAGAGAAGACGAUGAUAGAGAUCUUAGAACCUUGGAUUGCCCGCUCAAAUGCGGUUGUUAAUUCUUCUCCCUUUUUCAGUUCUUCGUCGUCAAUAAAAGCAUUGAUUCCAGCCUUUGUUAAUGCUUCAUAGAGGUGGCCCGUGAAGUUUUUACGUGUGUCUCCGCCUCUGAAGCUUAUGAACACAUCGUAGAGCGAACCUUUUGAGAAGGAGGACGAGGACAAGGAGGCGGAGAAGGACGAUGAGGAUGAGGAUGAGGGCAAGGAUGUGGAGGAGGUAGAGGAGGAAGAUGAGGAUGAGGAUGAGGGCGAGGAUGCGGAGGAGGACGAUGAGGAUGAGGGCAAGGAGGAGGAGGAUGACGAGGCUUUAUCGGGGACUGAGACAUUCAUUUGGCGAAAGACGAGGCCGAGGGAGCAGAGGAGGAAGAUGAGGACAUCAAAGACAAGACCGGAAUUGCGAGCCGCAAAGUGGUAGGACACUAACACCAGCACCGGAGUUAACAGCUUCCCUAAGCUCGACCAGGGAUCCAUUUCCUUCAUUUUCUUUAGGCAAAUUGAAGGUUUUUGGCGAUAUUGAUUUUCCCAUUUCCCUCAGCCUUUCCCUUUUUCCUUUACUUUUUUCUUCAUUUUUGGCGAGUUUCCUUCGCUUCUGGUCAAUAAUGCGCGUCAAUCAUGUGCGUUUUCAUACAGUACAUGCGUCCAUGUUUUUUUUUUCCUUUUUCUUGGUAGUUGUGCCGAGUGAAAGGCAGAUUUUAUACUAUAUAUUAUUUUCAAUUCUUGAUAUACUUUUAUUAUUAUUUUGAUGAGAUUUAGAUGUUUUGUUAUGUAUUUUUAAUGUAAGACAAUUAUGCACGUUAAUUAUGUGCGUUUUCGUACCUUUUUAAAGGAGUAGGAUUAUCUGGUCUCUUUUUGUCUCUCUACUUCUCUCUCUUUCUAUUUAAACGGUCACGGUUAAAUCUCGUUAACAUCUUAUAUUAAUUUUUUAUAAAAAAAGAUAAGAUAAAAAAUAUGAGAUGAUGGAAUGGAAAGAAGAAAUGAGAGAAUUCUAAUCUAUUUUUACAGUUUACAUGCGUCCGUGAUUUUUUUUUCCUUUUUCUUGGUUGUUGUGCCGAGACUGCCCUCCAGCUGGAAAUAAGGAGGAGACAGAGAAAUAAGAACUGCCACUAGGUUGGUGAAACAGUGUCAAGCAUUUUCGUUGGACGGAGGACUAUGCAUGUCGGGUUGGAUCGCCAAAUGGAAGGGCAAAAUUUAUAACCAAGCGGACAAUUUUUUUUUUCAACAAAUAAUAUUAUCGGGAAAAUCUCAUAAUAAGCUAAUAAUAAUAUGAUUCAAACUUUUAUUCUUACUUUUUGUUCUAAAUACUUAUUACAAUCAUGAAAAAUAAAAUAGUAGUUUAAAUUUGACAUCAGAGAAAGUGCUACGAACAGACAAAAAAACACAAUCAGAGAAAUUGCUACGAACAAACAAAAAAACACAAUCAGAGAAACUGCAACGAACAAACAAAAAAACACAAUUAGAAGGUGGUUUAAAUUUGGCGCAAUUGAUUGAAGACUUUGACUUGUGGUUCUACACCCUAAAUUCUACAAGGCGCCCUUUUUUUCCACUAUAACACCAAAUUGAAGACUUUGACUUGUGGUUCUACACCCUAAAUUCUAGAAGGCGCCCUUUAUUUCCACUAUAACGCCAAAUUCUACGCGGUAAGUUGACUUGUGGUUCUACACCCUAAAUUCUACGAGGCGUCCUUCUUUUUUCCACUUUAACGUUCACACAAUACACAAUGAUAAGAGAUUUUUCAAUUUAUCAGAACAUAGUCUGGGACACCGUACACCACUUAUAAAACAGUUUCAAGAGGGCUAGUUUGAAAAUAUCCUAUUGCAAAAUUUGAUUUAGAUGAAAACCAGCAACAGUGCCUGCGCGUGUUGUUGCGGGUGUCUAAAAUAUUUUGAUAAUAUGUACAUAGAAAACAUAAUUUAUUGAAGCUAGAUUUCUAUACUUAAGAUAGAGGUUGGCAGUGUUCAUAAUUAUCAAAAGAUUGGGAGUGUCCAAUUGCUCACUGUUCAAAAGAUAGAGAUGCUAUAAAAACUAAAUUCAUGUACAUAAGUUCAUAGUAUCAUGUACUCACAAUAAUCAUAGUAUCAAAAUAUUGGCAGUCUUCAACCACUCAUCGUUCAAAUACGAAAAUAUACAUAUAUCCAUAUCAAAAGGUUGGCAUCGCACAUCUGGUUUGUGUUUAUGAUUUUUCCUGUUCAAUCUCUGGUCUUGCUUGUUUGGGAAUGACCAUCCUUUUUCUUGGCCACCAUGUUGUUGAAUUGGUGCCUAUUCUUUUUUGCUUUGCCCAAGAUUUUGCUAUUGCUAUACAUUACGAAUUGGAAUCAGUAAGAAUUCAAUAUAAAAAAGUAAAUUUGUCAAUCUAUUUAACUUAGUGCGAACUUCAUCAAACAACCAACAAGUAUAAUCCAGCAAGGUUAUUUUCAUUUUCUUUUUUUAAUCAAAAUGAAUUCUAUUGUUCCCAUAUAUUUGCAAAUCCCUUUAAAUUAUCCAAAAACACAAAAGAAAUAUAUCUUGAUCCAUACCAAUUAAUGAUUUCCCAUUUACUUUAGUCAAAUGUCAGAGCCAAUGAAGGAACUGAUGAAGGAGCUAAAAAAGAGAGACAAAAAAAAAUCUCUAUUAUUCAAUUAUAUAGAGAAUUACUUGAUUGUACAAAAGGUUUGAAAAUUACUGUAAAAAUAAAAUUUCAAAAAAAAAAAAAAAAGAUGAGAUGAGAUGGAGUAGAAAUCACAUAACAGCAUUAGACUUAAAUUUGUAGUGCUUAUAUGAGAGAGUAGUGAUAGUGCUGAUGAGAAUGUAGGGAGAGAAACAAAAUGCAAAUCGUAAGAGUGAGAGAAAAACCGCUUGAGGGACACUGCAAAUUGAUCGAUGAGAUUUGAGAAACCACUAUUUUAUUUCUUGGUGGAUAAUUGGAAAUGUUAGUUUUAAGUCGUUCUUGGUGGAUGUUUGAUUUUUGGGUGUGUGGAGUUUUCGAAUUAUAAUUAGUUUUUUAUAGGUAUGUGAUUUGAGAAACCUUUAAUAUUUAUUUUCUCAUUCUUAUUUAUUUAAGGGCAAAUUUGAAAGUUUAGUCAAGAAAAUUUGUUAGUUGGGUGUAGAGAUAUAAAGGAUGGGUUCAAAUAAAAUUUCUCUAAAAUAAAUAAUGUGAAAGGAGAUGAUCAAAAAAGAAGUGAGAGAAUCAUAGUCUAUUUUUUACAGUUUACAUGCGUCCGUGACUUUUUUUGCCUUUUUCUUGGUUGUUGUGCCGAGACUGCCCUCCAGCUGGAAAUAAGGAGGAGACAGAUAAAUAAGAACUGCCACUAGGUUGGUGAAACAGUGUCGAGCAUUUUCAUUGGACGGAGGACUAUGCAUGUUGGGUUGGAUCGCCAAAUGGCUGGAAAAUUUUUAUAACCAAGCGGACAUAUUUUUGUUCUUUUCCUCUGAUGUUCAACUGCAAGUAGAAAUUCUGUUAGUUUAAAGGAUUUAAGGAUUAAGUGCAUUUUUUCAAAGAGGAUUAGCUUGGACGGAAUAACUAAGCAUCUGUAAAGGAGGAGUUCAAAUGUCAACAUCAGCAAUAACAAGAAAAAAAUACGGUAUUAGUGUUAGCAACUUCAAAUUUUUUUUUUUACAAUCAAUAUUAUGCCUUACAAUAAGCUAACAAUAAUAUAGUUCAAACUUUUAUUCUUACUUUUUGUUCUAAAUACUUAUUACAAUCAUGAAAAAUAAAUAAUGUAAUAAACAGUGGUUUAAAUUUGACAUAUCAAACAGAGAAUAAAAUUUUAAAAAAAAAUUAAAGUGUUACACUAACUUUCAAAUUUAAAUUUUAUAUUUGAAAUUUGAAAUCUACUUUGGAAAUGAACAAAUCGGUUGUUUUUUAUUAUAGAUUUCUUUAUAGAUAAUGUUGGUGGUCUUAGAAAAUUUUAUUAACAUGAAAAAAAAUAGUAUACUUAAUCUAUGGACAUAAACCUUUAACCCUUAAUUUGGUCCAAGAUAUUAUUAGAGAAUUCCCACUUGGUUUGGUCCCGUAUAAUUUUGUUUUCCCUGCUAGCAAUAUUUUGAAUUCCAACUAUCUAUAGUUUUGUUGGAAUAAUUUCACAAGUCAUAAUCUAAUCUAUUCUAUUAAGAGAAGAGGGCUUAUCAACUUUUUGCUCAUUUUUCUUCUAAUUUUGUCCUCACUUUUGAUAUAUAAUGUUUACAACAAGGAAGGCAAAAUAGUAAUUUUGUAUCUUUUGACAAAAUAACAAUCAUAUGCCUAUUUUACCUUUUUUCUAGAAAAUGACAAUCAUAUACUUAUGUUUUCAAUUUUACCCUCACUUUUUAUACACAAUAUUUACAUAAGAAUGACAAAAUAGGAAAAAAGGGGAAAAAAAGUUGACAAGGAGGCUUCUCUUAAUAACAUUUUUGAUACAUAAGGAGGACAAGCCAUCAUUUUUUCAUACAGGUAAGUUAAAUAAUUAUGUUUUUCGGAUAAUUUGAAUGAACUGAAGCGGUUGCGCUUGAGAAGAAUGUAAGAGGAGGUGUGUGGUUGUUCACACACACAAAGUGUGUACUCUAUGUAGUACAAAAUUAAGAAUACCAACUAUGCUUUUGUUUUAAUUUUUUUGGCUAAAAAAAAUCAAAAAAUCAAAAUCAAAGAAAAUGAUAGGAAAGAGCAACAACUUGCAUAUGUAUAGUUUAUAAGGAAAACUAAUGAAAAUAGCUUGAAAAUUUUGAGUUUUAACAAUAAAGACAAAAUAAAGGGUAAAGUAAAUAAUAUCAGGAUUGACUUUUUAGUGUAAAAAUAUGGUUUUUCGUUAAAAUUAACAAUACUGAAAACUUUUCGUUAAAUUUCCCUAUUUUAUAUGCUUUUAAUUAUUUUUAUGAGUUUGUGUUUGUACCAAGACAACUAUGUAUUUUAGGAAAACUAAUGAAAAUGAUUUGAAAAGCUUGAGUUUUAACGAUAAAGACAAAAUAAAGGGUAAAAUUAAUAGUAUCAGGAUUAACUUUUUAGUGUAAAAAUUGUGGUUUUUCGUUAAAGUGUACAGUACCGAGAGCUUUUCGUUAAAGUUCCCUAGUUUAUAUGCUUUUAAUUAUUUUUAUGAGUUCAUGUUUAUACCAAGACAACUGUCAAUUUAAGAUUUAGUAUUGAAUGGCUCCAUAGUAAAUAUCACAACUUUCCGAAUAUCCAGCAUCAGGUGGGUCUGAAGAAUUGCAUAGCUUGGGGGUAUCAUCUUGAGGACCCAUAUCAUCUGGAUCAGACCAAGGCCGAUGCCCACCGUACAUAUGGCGCAUAUGCCACACUUCGGCUGGAGGGUGGAGUUUUAACACUCAAAGUAACAGACCACUAGCAUCUGCACCUAUAGGCCAAGGCAUAUUCUAUAUAGCCCAUCGAAAAAAGUGAAAUCAAGUUGUAACUAUGAGAUUUCAGGUUGUGAUUGACAUUAACAAAUUAAGUAAAACGAAUGUGUAGAAUUUUAAGCAACCACUUAACAAGAAAGUUAAUCCUUUGAUUGAAUAAAGUUACAACCAUUGAGUUUAGCAUCAUUAUUAACAAGGAAGAAAAUAAACCAUGCAACUCCAUCAUCAUUCAUGAGUGGUAUUUAGGAAAUACAACUAUACUUGCAUAUGAGGGUCCUAAUUGUCAUGAAAAAAUUAGCAUGUACAUGAAAAUCUAUAUGCAUCUUGAAAAAAAAUAUAUUCUCACUCAUAUAUCCGUUUCAAAUUUAUAUAGACAAUAAUUAAAAGGCUUAAUUACUGGUGCACCUUUGAAAGUGGGAAAAAAAAUCUCACUUUGCCUCUUGAAACUUAUUUUGAUCAAAUUUACUUACUUUUUAAAAUAUGUAAACGUAUCUCAUUCUAUUGUAUACCGUUAGCUUCAUUAAAUUUUUCUUCAAUGUCACUCACGUUAACGUGUCAUCCAUGUGUCAAAAGAUAGAGUACCUUUUUGUCUCUUCCCGUUCUCCAACUUAAUACAAGUUAGUUAUUCUCCUUCACUUCUUUAGCUCAUUUCACUCUCCCCCUCUCUCUCUCACUGAUUUCUAUCUCUUGGUCUUAUUGACUUUUGGCUAAAUAAUGUUAAAAAAAUAUGAGUUUUCACCUUUUUUAUAAUUUGUGAUUCUCUUUUCCAUGUGUAGGUGAGAGAGUAAUGUUUAACUCAAAAUUUACCCUCAUUUUUAAUACACAAAAUGGUUGGACACUAACACCUCCACCGAAGUUAACAGCUUCCCUAAGCUCGACCAGGUAUCCAUUUCCUUCAUUUUCUUUAGGCAAAUUGAAGGUUUUUGGCGUUCUCCGAAAAAAAAAAAAAAAUUGAAGGUUUUUGGCGAUAUUUAUUUUCCUUUUUUCCUGCCGGAACUACUUUCUUCUUCUGAUAAUUAAUAAACCUGUCAACUCUAUGCCAAUAAUGCAGUUAGGAUUGCACAUGGGCGACCGACAACUCAUCAGGACCCCAUUUCCCUCAGCCUUUUCCUUUUAUCUUUACAUUUUUCUUCAUUUUUGGCAAGUUUCCUUUAAUUUUGGUCAAUCAUGCGCGUCAAUCAUGUGCAUUUUCCGACCUUUUUUACACUGUAGGAUUAUCUCUCCUCUUUGUUUCUCUAUUCUUUUUUUUCCUGUUAUUUGAACGGUCACGGUUAAACAACGUUAACAUUUUAUAUUAAUUUUUUAUAGAAAAAGAAAGACAAAAUAAAGAAUAUGAGAGAUGAGAAUGAAAAGAUGAAGGAAGAUAAUCCUAAUUUUUUUUACAGUUUACAUGCGUCCAUGAUUUUUUUUUCCUUUUUCUUGGUUGUUGUGCCGAGACUGCUCUUCAGUUGGAAAUGGACAAGGAUUGCCUGUCUUCCCACUUCCUGUGCCAUUCUGUUUUAUGUGGUUACGGUUAAGCCACGUUAAUAUUUUAUAUUUUUUUUUAUAGAGAUAAAAAAAAGGUCGUACUCAGUGCACAAGGCUCCUGCUUUACGCAGGGUCUGAGAGAGGUGAAUGUCGGCGAGCUUUACCCCCAUUUAUGGAGAGGCUGCUCUCAAGUCUCGAACCCGAGACCUACCGUUCAUGGGCGAAGGCAUUUGCCAUCGCACCAAGUGCGACCUGUUUUUUUUUAUAGAGAUAAUAAGAUAAAAAUAAAUAGUAAUAUAAAAUAUUAACGUGAUUUAACCGUGACCAAACAAACAGAAGGGUACGAAAGGGCAGACAAUCCUUGCUGGACAUAAGGAGGAGACAGAUAAAUAAGAACUGCCGAUAGGUUGGUGAAACAGUGUCAAGCAUUUUCAUUGGACGGAGGACUAAUGCAUGUCAGGUUGGACCGCCAAAUGGCUGGGAAAAAUUUAUAACCAAGCGGACAUUUUCUUUUCUCUGAUGUUCAACUGCAAGUAGAAAUUCUGUUAGUUUAAAAAGAUUUAAGGAUUAAGUGCAUUUUUUUAAAGAGGAUUAGCUUGGAAGGUAUAACUAAUCAUCUUUAAAAGAGGAGUUAAAAUGUCCACAUCAGCAAUAACAGUAAAAAAAUUACGCAUUAGUGUCAACAACUUCAUUUUUUUUUUCUUCAACAAACGAUAUUAUCAGAAAUGUCUCACAAUGAGCUAACAAUAAUGUGGUUCAUGUUUAAACUUUUAUUCUUACUUUUUGUUCUAAAUAUUUACUACAAUCAUGAAAAAUAAAUAAUGUAAUAAAUAGUGGUUUAAAUUUAACACAUUGGGUGGAGAAUAAAAUUAAAAAAAAAAAAAUCAAAGUGUCACAAAAGCUUUCAAAUUUAAAAUUUAUGUUUGAAAUUUGAAAUCUACUUUGGAAAUGAACAAUUCAGUUGUUUUUAUUUUAUUUAAUUUUUUUUAUGGAUUUCUUUAUAGAUAAUGUUGGUGGUAUUAGAAAAUUUUAUUAACAUGAAAAAAAAUUAUACUUAAUCUAUAGACAAAAACCUUAACCCUUAAUUUGGUCCAAGAUAUUAUUAGAGCAUUCCCACUUGGUUUGGUCCCGUAUAAUUUCAUUUUCCCUGCUAGCAAUAUGAGUGCAACUUGGGUUGGGCCAACCUGAACUCGUCCAUGUUCAACCCGACUUUAAACCUAAACAAGCGGGUUUUUUUUUAUAGUUAUAACCCUCCCGAACCCAACCUGAUUUCAACCUGUUCAUUGAUUGGGUUGAGUUGAGUUGAUCAUUUGCCCAACCCAACUCAACCCGACCCAACCCAAUUAAACAAACCCGAAUAUGACCUAUAUCAAUUAAUACUCAUAUUACACCUAAAUGGGCCAAGUCCAAAAACCCACAUCCUUUCUAAUAUAUUUUUUAAAUAAAUUACCCCUCUAAACCCUAAAGCUAUAUAUUAAAUUGUUAGUCUCCAAUUUCAUUAUGUGGCUCUGCAACUCAGUCUACCUCUUUCCUCUUAUUAAGAAGUCAAAAACUAAGUCUCAAGGCUACAGGUCUCCAUCUCUAUCUGAAAGCCCAAGAAAAUUUGCAACUGCCCCUCUCUUUUUGGACAAUGAAGUAUUCCUCUCUAUAUGAAAGCCCAAGAAAAUUUGGACAAUGAAGUGUUCUUCUCUUUUUUUUUUUAUUCUUUUCUUUUGGUACUAGCUUUAGUAUUUCUUGUAUUUUAAUUCAAACUUUGCAUGGUUGAAACAUUUAUAUUUAGUUAUUAACUUUAUAACGGAUACAAUUUGCGGAAUUGAAUUUUAAUUUUGAAAAAGUUGGGCCAACCCAAACCCAACCCAAGUAAACCCGAAUCCAAUUAUACCUGGGCCCGAAUGAACUCGAUUAAAACCCAACUCGAACCCGAACCCGAUUUGUAAAAAGUUGGGUUAGAAUUAGGUUGACCUUUCAACCCACCCAAUCCGCCCAAGUUGCACCCCUAGCUAGCAAGGUUGUGAAUUCCAACUAUCUUUAGUUUUGUUGGAAUAAUUUCACAAGUCAUAAUACAUAAUUAAGAAUAGCAACUGUGCUUUUGUUUUUUUUUUGUUUUUGGCUAAAAAAAUCAAAAAAAAAAAAAUCAAAGAAAGUGAUAGGAAAGAGCAACAACUUGCAUAUGUAUAGUUUAUAUGCUUUUGCUUAUUUUUAUGAGUUCAUGUUUGUACCAAGACAACUACCAAUUUAAGAUUUAGAGGGUGUAUUCAUUUGGGAAUUUGAUAUAUUGUAAUAGAUUUAUAAAUCUACGGAUUUUUAUAGAGUUUAACUAAUUUGUAGAGAUUUCAUAUAAAAUUUUGAUAAACUAUCUUAAAAUCUUGAUUGAAUACACAUUGAAUUUCAGAGAAUCACUUAAAAUCUUGAUUGAAUACACCUUGAUUCAUUAAAAGAAUAAAAAUCCCUAAAAAUCCCAAUUGAAUACAGCCCCCUUAGUAUUGAAUGGCUCCAUAAUAAACAGCACAACUUUUCGAAGAUCCAAAAUCAGGUGGCUCUGAAGAAUUGCAUAGCUUGGGGGUAUCAUCUUGGGGACCCAUAUCAUCUGGAUUAGACCAAGCCCGACACCCAUCGUACAUAUGGCACCUAUGCCACUUUUUGGCUAGAGGGUGGAGUUCUAACAUUCGGAGUAACAGACCCCCAACAUCUGCACCUAUAGGCCGGGGCAUAUUCUGUAUAGCCAUCGAAAAAAAGAGAUUGUAACUAUGAGAUUUCAGGUUGUGAUUGACACGAAUUUUAAACAACCAGUUAACAAGAAAGUUAAUCCUCAUACUGAAUAAAGUUGCAAGCAUUGAGUUUAGCAGCAUUAUUAACAAGGAAGAGCAGAAACCAUGCAACUCCAUCAUCAUGCAUGAGUGGUAUUUUUGGAAAUACAACUAUACCUGCAUAUGAGGAUCAUAAUUGUCAUGAAAAAAUUAGCAUGUACAUGAAAAUCUAUAAACAUCUUGAAAAAAAAUAUAUUCUCACUCAUAUAUUCGUUUCAAAUUUAUAUAGACAAUAAUUAAGGGAAUUGUUAUUGGCAUUUUAAAAAUCUCAUUUUACAUUUCAAACUUUCUACAUUUAGAAAGAAAAAUAUACUUGUGAGGAGUGUAGAAUGAGAUUUUUUAAAUGUUAAUAACACUUCCCAUAAUUAAAAGGUUUAAUUACUGGUGCACCCGUGACUCUCAACGGGUCGGGAUUCAGCUGCACGCGAUAUGCAACUGACUGCAGGCCUGGUUGCUCUGUAUUUUUUUAGGUUUCUUUUAUCCUUCCCUCCCGUCGCGCUAUUCUUUUGUAUCUUUGCUUUUGGUUUUCCCACCAUUUUUGAGCAGGUCAGAGACCAUACUUGUAUACCAAGAAUAAUAGCUUAAUGGAAAUAUCUUGCGUUCCUUCCUUGUAAUUAACAUUUCUUCUUCUUGUUCUUCUAUUAUUUUUUGUUUUUGUCGUAAUAUAAGAGUUAUGUUCAAAAUUGUGAUCAAUUAGCAUUCGCCGCCACUUAGUAUACAUCAUUCAUUAUUAUUUUUUAUUCAAUAGAAAAAGAAUGAAGGAGUUCACUAUUUUUUGUUUUAUCAUCGGAAUAGAGGACUUAUUCUAGUGAAAAGAGAUUUUUCUCUAGAAAGAAACAAAUAAGAUAUUGAUUCCAAAUACCGUUACUUUACUAGAUGAAGCCGACAACUAUGCGUGUAUAAGGAUAAAAAAAAAACUAAAAAAACACUAAGAAUUUUUUUUUAAAUAUAUACUAGCAUAUGGGCACACACAAAGUGUGUGAAUUUUUUUUGUUUGUUUUUGAAAUAGAAGGAGAGAGGAAGAGAGUGAUAGAGAAUGUGAGUGGGGAUUUUUUUUUUAAAUUAGAGAUAUGUUAUGAUUACAUGUAGGUGAUGCUUUGAAAAGAAAAACAAAAUUUGGUUGUGUGAAAUUACAUUUUUUCCCCAUAUUUCUUAUUCAUGUUUUGUUUUAGGGUAAAGUACAAAAAACUAUCUCAACUAUUGGUGUCACGACACUUUCAUACUUCAUCUUUUAAAAUUGACAAUGUCAUACCUUAUCUUACGAAUUUGUGUCAAUGUCGGACCUCCAUCAGUUUUUCUGUUAAUUUCUCUGUUAAAUGCUGACGUGACCCGACACGUGUCCCACUCACUAAUCCAAUUGGAUUAAAAAAUAAUAAAAUACAUUUUUAAUAAUUAAAUAUUCAAAAAUUAAAAAAAUAUAUAUUAAAUCUUUCUCUCUCUCUCUCCUCUCUUUUUUAUUUUUAUAUUAAAUCUCUCUCUCUCUCCUCUCUCUCUCUCCCCCUCUCUGUCGCCUUUAUCUCUUCUCUGCAUCCUAGAACCCAUUCUCAUCUCUCCCCUCCCCCCACCGCGACCCCUUCCCGUUCCCCCUCCGUGCAACCCCCCACCCUUCCCCACCCAUGCCAACAUCUCCUUCUCUCUCAGCUCACUCACUCUUUCUCCCCCUCUCUUGCACAUACUAUACCUCUCUCCCAGAUCUACACUCACGCACCCAUUUACACACCCACACCCACCGACGACGGUACCAAAAACCAUCAUUGGCGUCAACCCUUUCUCCUUUCGUCUCCGUGAAGCUCCGAGGCACCCAGAGGACACCCAACCCAGGUCCGGCGAGCCAUGGGUGUGCGAGCCCAAGUCUCGGGUGGGGACAAACUAGGGGAUGGGGUGGGGUGGGGACGAAUUGGGUUUUGAUUUUUUUUUUUCGUUUCGUUUCUGGGCAGAGCAGGGGAAGAAGAUGGGGGAGGAGAGAGAGGGGGUGGGGUGGGGACGAAUUGGGUUUUGGAAAUUUUUUUUUCACUUUUCUUUGUUAUUUUAAUAUUUAAAAUAUAUUAAAUGAUUUUUUUAAAUAUUUUCUUAAUUUUUUUAAUAGAAAGUGGGGUUUGGAUCAAGCCACGUCAGCAAUUAACUGACAAAUUAACGGUUAGGCUAACUGAAGGUAUAAAAUUGACCAAAUUCUAAAGAUGAGGUAUGACAUUGUUAAUUUUAAAAGAUGAGGUAUGAAAGUGUCAUGAGACUAAUAGUUGAGGUAGUUUUUUGUACUUUACCCUUUGUUUUAAUUAGAGGGUUAAACUGGUAAUUUCAUAAGAUUUUGGUUGACAAUAAGUGUUUUAUUAAUUAGUAGAAAUAAAAAAAAAGUAAUUUUAAAUAGAUGCAGAAAAAUAGUAGGAGAGAGAGAGAUUUGAUAGUUUUAGUUGUUAUAAUUACCAUAUCAUCCUUCAUUUUUAUGUUUUAUUAUUUAAACUUACUAAGAUUAAAAAGGGCGAAAAGGAAAUUUCACCCUCUUUAGUAGUAGAUUAAUUCCCAAACGCUAAUGUCGUUUCCAUGAGGUUUGUAUAGAGUUACAAGAUCGCCGGUGCUUUCUUACAAGGGACAGCUAGUCCAUGACGUCAUAUUGUCACUGUGUGGUAUGGGCCUCCGAGUUGACUCCGCGAGUCUAUACAUCUAUAUACAUACACGCAUCUUUUAGGGUUUAUAGCUUUCCUAUAAAAGGACAGGAUUUCUCGAAUUCUACAAGCACUUACAUUUUGCGACUUAUGCAGACCUUGAUUUAACCAAAUUUGUGAGACUUACAUAUGUCGUUAUCUGCACUCAAUUUUGAAUUACCAUUUUUGUACUUUAUAUAAAUUUAGUGUAAUUAUCUUCCUAGUUUAACAAAUUGGAGCCCCCAAAAUUGAUAUUGAUUGGUAGGUCAAAAUACAAAACCCUAAAUUCAGAUCUUUUCUGAUUCUAUUUUUUUCAUAAAUUUAAGUCAUAUUUAAUAAUUUGUUUUCUGAAUACCUAAAUAUGAGAUGAAUGCUGUGUGUCAAGAUAUGCAUUUGUUGGUCAAUUUUUUAUAACCCCCAUGGCUAGGUGUAACUUUUGUUUUCGUUUAAGAACCAUUGAGUUUUGUUUAGGAACUUAUUUACUUAGUUUAUUCAUAUUUUUUGUAACAUCCAUGACUAGGUGUAUCUUUUGUUUUUGCUUAAGAACCGUCGAGUUUUAUUUAGGAUCAUACUUAUUUAGUUUAUUGCUAAUUUUUACGGUUCAGUUUAAUUCUUUACUUCCACGUUAUUGGUACUUUCUAGGUGUUCUUUCUUUCUUUCUAAUUAAGUGAUUUGAAUUCCUUUUCAACUAAAACAUGCAAUUGAAUAAUAUUUUUUUUCUUGUUUCUUUCUUGGCAUCCUGAUCUUAGUCGCUGUAUAUCAUAUGCGGAUUCCUAGUUGCUGUAAAACUUAACAACUCUUAGGGUUUCACGUCAAUUGCAUGCCUUCACAAAGAGAGGCUGCAUGUAUUUAUAGUCACGUUCAGAUUACAUUAGGGAUUGAAAUCCCUAUUUACAAGGCUGUUUCAAAGCCAAAAGUACAACAGAAACUACAAAACGUAUUACAGAAAACAACUAACAUUCGAAAGGAAGUUUGAACUAAGCUAACUCUUCUUGGAUAAGAGUUUAGGUUGAUCACAACCUCCUGAAUUUGAGGAAACCACCACCAGACGCGGACUUGGUCUAACAGCCCCCCGCAAGCUGACAGGAGGAGAAACAAAUGGAAGGUUGGAAACAAGAUGUGUGAACCGGGAAGAUGACAAUCCUUUGGUAAAUAGAUCAGCAAUCUGAUCUUGAGAACAUAUGAAAUUCACAAAUAACUCUUGGCGAACCACUUUCUCACGAACAUAGUGAUAAUCCACCUCCAAGUGCUUUGUACGGGAUGAAAAACGGGAUUUGAAGCGAGGGCAAUGGAGGAAACAUUGUCACACCAGAUGGUUGGGCGAUCAAGAUGCAAGUGGAGGUCACGAAAUAAAGACCGGAACCAUGAUAAUUCUGCAGCAGUAUAAGCAAGCUGCUGAUAUUCAGCUUCUGAACUCGACCUACUGACAGUUUUCUGCUUUUUAGAAAUCCAAGACACGAGAUUGGACCCGAAGUAAAUGCAAAAACCACCUGUGGAAUGCCGUGUAUCAGGAUUCCCAGCGUAAUCAGCAUCAGAAUACGCUGUAAGGUGUGCAGUCCCAGGUUUAUACACAAGACCAUGAUUGAAUGUGGCUUUAACAUAUCGAAGGAUCCGUUUGACUGCCAUCCAGUGAGUAGUCCUGGGAGAAUGCAUGAACUGACAUACCUGGUUGACUGCAUAAGAAAGGUCUGGUCGCGUGAUAGUUAAAUACUGAAGUGCACCGACAACACUUCGAUACAUCUCGUAAUCAUCAUGGGGCUCACCGGUGUAAGCACUAAGUUUCUGUCCACAAGAAACCAGUGUGGAAAUGGGUUUAGCAUCCAAAAACUUAGUACGCUUAAGCAAGUCCACAGCAUACUUGGCCUGAUUCAAAUGCAUUUGAUCACCACAAUAGGUUACUUCGACACCCAGAAAGUAAUGAAGAGGCCCAAAGUCCUUCAUUGAAAACAAAGUUCCCAGUUUAUGGAUUAAGCGAGACAUGUGGCGAAGACUAUUCCCUGUCAACAAUAUAUCAUCCACAUAGAUCAAUAAAAUCAAGUAGAGACCAGAGUGAUUGAAAACAAAUAAACUGUAAUCACACGUGGAUGCUUGAAACCCUAAUUGCAGUAAAAACUCUGAAAAACGUUGAAACCAAGCUCGCGGAGCUUGUUUCAAUCCGUAUAUACUCCUUUGCAAUUUGCAGACAUGUUUGGGAUGCUGCUCAUCAAUGAAACCUGCAGGUUGGCGCAUAUAUACGGUCUCCUUUAGAAAGCCAUGCAAGAAAGCAUUUUGUACAUCCAAUUGCCUGAUAUGCCAUUUGUUUGAAACUGCCAAACUAAGAACAAGGCGUAUGAUGCUAUGCUUGACCACAUGACUAAAGGUCUCGGUGUAAUCAAUCCCAGGCUGUUGAUGAAAACCAUUUGCAACUAACCUCGCCUUGUGCCUUUCUACAGAGCCAUCUGCCCUUUGUUUGAUCUUAAAUACCCAUUUGUUGGGCAGCACAUUCAUUUGGGAAUGAUAAGGAACAAGCUCCCACGUGCCACAUCGCUGCAGGGCAUUAAAUUCUUGAACCAUGGCGUCCCUCCAUUGGGAUUGCUUGACAGCCUGACUGAAACAUGUAGGUUCAACUAAAGAAGGAUCAAUAGAGACAUGUAUAACAUAUUUAGGAUUAGGUUUCUGUAUUCCCGACUGUGAUCGAGUCGUCAUGCGUGGCCUUGGUAUGGAGGAUUGAUGUAUUGAAGCAACAUCGUGGGCUGAAGAUGGCAGGGAGUGAGGCGUGGGGGACUCAACAACUGGGGCUUGCUCAUUUAAAUUUUGGUUUGUGGAACUAGGGUCAGGGAGAGAUAAGGUGGCUGGCGGGUUGGACGGAGAAGAUAACAUGGGAUGGGGAGGAAUAGUAUUGUGGUGAGGAUUUGGCGGAGUGGACGUGGUUAUGGUUGGCUGGGAUGGGGACUCUAAAGGUUGGUUAGGGUUCAGCAAAGGGUUGGACGUAUCUGAUAAAAGGAUAGGAAAUGUGAACAAAAGAUCAGGAGAUGAAAAACUACCUGUGUUAUCAAUGUUUUCCCGCAAGGAUGUGAGUUCCUUAAAUGAAAAUGAGUCCUCAUCGAAUAGGACAUGGCGAGACAAAUAAAUUCGUCUCGUGGACAGGUCCAAACAUUUAUACCCUUGAUGAUUCAGUGAGUAUCCUAAAAAUACACAUGGUUUUGACUUAGGUUGAAGUUUAUUUUGUGCAUAAGGAACAAGCCAAGGAAAACACUUGCAACCAAACACUUUUAACGUCUCAUAGUUUGGAGAUUUUUCAAACAAAGUCUCAUAGGGCGAUUUAUGAGACAAAACCCGAGUUGGCAGUCUAUUAAUUAAAUAAGUGGCUGUAGAACAAGCAUCAAACCAAUAUUUGUUCGGAAUGUGAGAGAGAGACAGCAUGACAAUACUCGUUUCAACAAUAUGGCGAUGUUUGCGUUCUGCAAGGCCAUUUUGCUCGGGAUGUUUUGGACACGAAAACCUUUGAGAAAUGCCAUGUGUUGCAAGAAAUUGUUGAAAACUAUGACUUUUGUACUCACCUCCUUCAUCACAUUGAAGGGUUUUUAUGGAAGUAUUAAACAUAUUCUCGAUCUUAGCUUUAAAUUGAACAAAUAUGGCAAACACUUCAGACUUAUUUUUCAUGGGAAAAAUCCAAGAAUACCUAGAAUAAUCAUCGACAAACAAGACAUAAUAGCAAAAACCUUCAAUUGAAAUAACUGGAGAACACCAAACAUCGGAAUGUAAAAGUUGUAAAGGAAAUUGAGAAACAGACUCUGAAGUACUAAACGGUAACUUAGUACUUUUUCCUAAAGGACACGACUGACAAAACGUUACAUCAACAAUACCAUGAAUCGGUACUUGUUUAUUUGAAAUUAAAAACUUGAUAAUAGAAGACGCAGGAUGACAAAGACGUGAAUGCCAUUUUUGAGCCGAGACUCGAAUGCCUAGACACACAGAAAUAGGGUGAUUGAACUGUCCACUGCCACCAACAAAUGGGUAUAAGCCAUUCUCACAUCUCCCGCGGAAAAGUGUCUUCCGGGUCUUGAGGUCCUUAACAAGAAAAAAAUGAGGAAAGAUGAGUAAAUAACAAUUAUUAUCUAGGGUAAAUCGGUGUGCAGAAAUAAUGUUGGUUGAGGCAGUGGGGCAUCUUAAAAUAUUUUGUAAUUUAAAUGAGCAAGAGAGAGUUGGGAUUUGAUGCGAACCCACAUGAGAGAUAGAAAGGCCAGUAUCAUUACCUACACCACCCACAUUCUGAUUACCAUUAUACUCUUUUGGGUUUACCAAAUUCUGGAUGUCGGGAGUUACAUGCGCAUUAGCACCGGUGUCCAAAAGCCACUGUCCAUUAUUCUGUCGAUUGAGAGAACCCGGAGAUGUUGCCAUGGCAGUGAGCUGUUUGCUGGAAUUCUCCCUUCAUAGGCUGCAUUCAUUCUUUGAUAACAAUCGAGAGCAGGAUGCCCUUGUUUUCCACAUAUCUGGCAGGUGAGACGUUCUCCUGUGGUAGUAAAUUUCUCACCAUUGCAGGCCGAAUUUGGCCUUGGAUUAUUGUUGUGAGGAAAGAACCCUCGCGGAUUGACAGCACCACCACCACGUGCAAACUGAAAACCACCACGUCCAGUGCCACGAAGUCGUCCACCAUGACCUCUGGCAGUGACAAAAGCAUUCACCGGAACAGCCUCCACAUGCUGAAUAGUCUGAGCAGCCAUUCGUCUCUCGGUAGUCAGGAUGAGGGCCUCAAGUAUAGGGUACGCGAUUGGAGUAUCACGUGCUUGAGCAGCACUCACUGUCAUUUCAUAUGCAGGGCCCAAAUUAUUCAAUAUAAUCUGGACAAGUUCAUCAUCAUUCACGGGGUUGCCAGCUAGGGCAAGGUUAUCAGCAAUCGAGUUCAUUCGAUCAAGAUAAUCAGCAAUAGACAUAUCACAUUUCUUAGUUUGCAUCAGUUCAUUGCGAAGGAACAAAAUACGAUUUUGGGACGUAGAAGCAUACCGUUGCUCGAGAGCCUCCCAUGUGUCAUGAGAGGACCGCUUGUUGGCGACAACAGACAACACAGAGGGCGUAAGAGAGCCAUUGAUCCAGCUUAGGAUCAUUUGAUCAUGCUGCACCCAGGUUGUGUAUGCUGGGUUGAGAGCAUCCGCACCAGGAAGAUGUUUGGGUGGGCAUACGAUGGACCCAUCAACAUAUCCCAUCAGGUUACGACUCUUGAGGAUUGGUAGGAUCUGAGCCAACCACAGAGGAUAGUUGGUUCGAUCCAGUUUGAUGUUGACAACUGUGGUCAUGGAUGAGAAAGGGUUCAGGGCAGGGUUUGAAAGAGAGGUGGUGAAGGGUGCAGUGGUGGAGGAUGCAGCGCCGUUUGCGUUAUCAGCCAUGGAAAAAAAAAUAUCAGGAUCUAAGUCGUUAGACUGCUAGGGCUCGUAUACCAUGUAAAACUUAACAACUCUUAGGGUUUCACGUCAAUUGCAUGCCUUCACAAAGAGAGGCUGCAUGUAUUUAUAGUCACAUUCAGAUUACAUCAGGGAUUGAAAUCCCUAUUUACAAGGCUGUUUCAAAGCCAAAAGUACAACAGAAACUACAAAACGUAUUACAGAAAACAACUAAAUUCGAAAGGAAGUUUGAACUAAGCUAACUCUUCUUGGAUAAGAGUUUAGGUUGAUCACAACCUCCUGAAUUUGAGGAAACCACCACCAGACGCGGACUUGGUCUAACAGUUGCUUCUACUACUCAUGGCCCUUACUACCAAAAAUUCUCAGCUCCCGCCGGCAUCAUCACAAGAUUACUUCAAAAUCAACAGCCUCCCUGACGAGUUGUUGGUUGAAAUCCUUUGUCGACUCUCAUGCAACAAGUUGGUUUCACAAUGCAAAUUCUUGUGCAAGCGGUGGUUCCUCCUCCUCUCCAAUCCUGACAUUGUUGGCCGUUUUGUAUGUCUCCAAAAGGAUAAGAAAAAUCCCAGUACCUGCGGUAUGCUGUUUUCACUGUUUUUCGCACAAAAAGAUCGCGUCGCCGCAUUUUUUACACCGAGUUCCCAAUUCCCGGAAUCUUUAAGAAGUAGGUUAUCUACUAUGAGUUUCAUCCCUUCUUUUGAUCCAAAAUGUGGUUGGAUGAAGGAUGUAUUAUCCGUGUACAAUGACCUAGUUUUAUGCUACUGGGGAUAUUCGCCUAAUGACUCGAGCAUUUACUACAUCAUUUGCAAUCCAUACACCAGCCACUGGGUUGCUCUACCUCCUGCCCCAGCAUGGCAUGAUAUUCUACCAGCGGAAUUGAUUUGCGAUCCCUACUAUAAGUUUCCGGAAGAUGAUAACAAAUCUUGUGAACAAAAUAAUAUCGUUAACGCUGAGUAUAGGUGCAAGGUUGUGCGAUUUCAUUUAUAUUUGCCAGAUCCCUUUCGAUGCAAAAUGGACAUGUUCUCUUCUGAGACCGGUGUAUGGAAAGAGCUGGUUGUAGUAUCCCCACGAGAAUUCGGUGUCUACUGCAAUGACUCCUUUCCUCGUGCGGGUUUUCCUUGCAAAGGAAAGUUGUACUGGGCAGGCACUGGUGGCGUUAUGGGGUUGGAUCCGUUGGCGUACAACGACAAUAACUCUAGUAGUGCUUGUGAUGGUCGUGAAGUUUUUGAUAAAUGUUAUUUCGUCUUGAUGAGGUUAAGCUGCCUGUACACCUUGACAAGUUCUUAUGUGAGAGUCGAGGCAUGUUAUGCCUCGUAGCGUUUCAGCACAUUUACGAAGAUGUUCGUAUCUGGGAGAUGAAAGGAGAUGUUGAGGAUGGCUGUUGUUUCACUAUUAGACAGGGGGUUUGCUUAUUGCCAAGGAUGGAACGAUCUGGUCUGUGGCGUCAGUUGUACGAUGAAGGAGAGGCCACGAGAUUGUUGCCUUUGGACUCGUUUGAUGAGGAUAUCAUGUAUCUACAGUCAAGUAGAUCGAUUUUCAUGACAUUUGUGCAAGGAAGAUACUGAAAAUUACAGACGGAGAGGUGAUACGUGUUUUACCAUUUGCGCUCCCAUGGUGGCCGACACCAGUCCCUAAAAUGGUACCACCACCAGAAGCCAUCAGUUCCUAGUAUUUUUAUUUUUUUGGGGCAAGAUAUCAAUUCAUACCAUGAACGUCUUGACAGACCUAAUUUAUUUCCGUUUCACUUCUUUGAUAUUAAUGUUUAUGAUUCUGAGUAAUGUUUGUAGAUUAAUUUCGUGUACAUUGUCGCUUGAAAUAACCGUAUUUGAAUCAUAUGAUGGCAUUGCCAAAUUGUAUGUAUUAUUUGAAAGAGAAACAUUACAUGCCACAACAGAAUUACAAAGUUUGCCUUCUGCAUAAGAUUCGUCACCGCUACACUAUUGGCAGUUUCAUAUCACAUGCUUAUUUCCAAGGGACAAAUCUCACUUCGUCACUGGCAAUCUUCGAGCAAAGCAUUAGCGUUUCAAAUAUGCUUUCCGAGGAAGGUGAGGAUCAGCUGAUUGACCUCUUCAGGCGACUGUUCUUGAACAAAAUGCGUUCCUUCGGGAAGAAAUACAAUCUCCAAAUCAGGGACAAACUCUUUGAUCUUUCCACUGUUUAUGUAAUCCUCUAUCCCUGGAAAUUUGUUAACAUAAUCCUUGCCUCCCAUUAUAAAAAGCGCCGGAGCUUUAACUAUUGGAUCUGCUACAUCGGACUCUUCUCUAAUUGCCCUAUCGAUGUGUAAAAAGAGUUCAACGGUCAUUAACGAGUAUGUGCUUACAACUUGGUCAAAUAUUGCUAGGGGUGAUCGUUCUGUCUACAUUAACAGUUCGAGUAUGUAACAGUAUGAAACCACUUGGUCAACUACAUUACCUGUAUGGAACUUGCAGCGCAGUUCGGAAACCCGAUUUCUCAUACAAAGCUCCAUAUGCGGCAAGAUCUUCCUCACAGAACCAAGGGGGAAGAGGCGUAGAUGGAUCCACUAGGUCCAUGAUCUCCUGGUCUUCUGCAGCUAUUGGUAUUUCGCUUCUGGAAAAAAGGAUGUAAACAUUCCGAACAACCGUUUUCGCAUCGAGGCGCCCAAAAUCAGCCUCUGCACGUCCAGGUUCCUGUAACAUAGGCAACAGUUAGUUGCAAACUCGCAAGAAAUUCAUGCUUGCAAUAGUAUUGAACAUAUAACAAGACCAGGUAAAUGCACACCUGCCAUCUUGAAAUGUAGAAACCUUCUGGGAGGUAGUUGCCCGUUUUACGAGGGCCUGGUGGCAUGAUUGGCAAUCCCAUUGUUACAACGCCUACGACCCUCUCGGGGUGCAGAAGAGAAAAUAAUGUCGCCACCCCAACUCCAAAAUCUUUUGCAAUUAGGAAAACCUAUGCAAAUUUGAAUACAAUUUCCAAAGCCUUAAAUCCUCAUAGCCAUUAACAUCAGAAAGUGUUCAUCCAAAAGUUGAAUACAAUUACCAACUAGCUCUCAAGUUUAGUGAUAUUUCGAAGAGAAAUGCAAAGGGGACUCUUAUCAAAAGUGGGCUCUCCAUAGACUCUUUGCACCUCAUGUUUUUUGCACAAUGUUUUAUAGUGUUGGCAUAAGAAUUGACGUUAAACUGUAAGGUGCUACGGUCUAUAGAGAGUCCCACCUUUGAGAGAGUCCUCUUAGCAUUUCUCUACUUCGAAUCCGCACUCCGAUUAUCCAAAUGAAUUAAUUUUCUUUUAAUCAAAUUAGUACUAAUGACAAGAAAAACUUCAGGGAUGCCAAAACAAAAGGAAAAAGGAGACUUGUAUUUUAUUCACCAUAUGUACCAACCUAAACAAACUGGAGAUUCCAAGAAAUAUCUAUGGAGUUAAAGGAAUUUUUUUUUUGUUAAUUUAAGCAAGUUAAUUAAUUGGAAUUAAUAAUAAUUAAGGAGAAAAAUCCGAUGAUUCUUUCCAAUAAGUACCUUGGGAAUAGCAAGGGAAUCGAGAAUUCCAAGGAUGUCACUGGCGAGGUCACGGUACGAGGUCUUCUCGGAUUGGGGAGGAGGGUCGGAUAGUCCGUAUCCGCGGUAGUCGGGAGCGAUGGCCCGGAAGCCGGCGUUGGCCGCCGCAACCAUCUGGUGCCGCCACGAGUACCAAAUUUCCGGGAAACCGUGCAGGAACACAACCACAUUGGAACCUAUGAUAAACAAAAAAAGACGGCGAUCGAUCGAUUAUGGUUGUGUUCGGUUGUGUUAAGAAUAAUAAAUACGCUACGGUGCCGGACGAGGAAUUGGGGAGGCAAAUAAUCUGACCUGUUCCGAUGUCGGCGACGUGGAGCUUCAGGCCUUGUACGGUUAUGUACUUGUGCUGGAUUUGCUCCAUUUCAGGUGGUUUUUCAGACGACAAUCACAAAGUGUACGAAAAAGAUAGAGAGAGAGAGAGAGAGAGAGAUCACUUCUGGUUCCGACAAGACAAUGUUUGGACUUGCCAAAAAUUGAAGCAGCUAGCAUCAAAUAGGAGGGCAUUUACGUCCAUAACCCAAGUUACAUUUUUAUUUUACUAUUUAUAAUUACUAGUCAUUUUUAUGUUGUUUUCCUUGGGGCUUCUCCUUAUAAUUUUUGUUUCGUUUCAGAAAAAUGAUAUUCUGACUCAUAUUUUAAUUCUAAUUAGAUAUUGUAGCUCGUAUAUCUAAUUAAAAUAUUUAAUAACUUGUGUGCCCUUGAAAAUGUUUGACAGUCUCAUUCUGUUUCUUAAAACUUCUUUUGAUUCAGUUUACUUAUUUUUUAAAAUGUGUAAAUGUGCUUUAUUUUAUCGUAUAUCGUUAGCUUCAUUAAGUUUUUUAUCAAUGUCGCUUAUGAUGACAUGUCAAAAAAGAGGACCUUUUUGUCUUUCCCCUUUUUGUCUGUCCUUUUAGUUGUGGUGUCCUUCCAUGCCCUCUUAUUUUGUACGGUCACGGUUAAAUCACGUCAACAUUUUAUAUUAAUUUUUUAAUAGAGAUAAUAAGACAAAAAUAAUAAAAAUAUAAAAUAUUGACGUGACUUAACCGUGACCGUACAAAUAAAAGAGCAUGGAAGGGCACCACAACUAGGACAACUAGGAGGGCAGACAAUCUGCCUCCCUCUCUCACACUGAUUUCUAUCUCUUGAUGGUAUUGAUUUUUGGCUAAAUAAUCUUUAAAAAAUAUGAGUUUUCAUCUUUUUUUAAUAAUUUAUGGUUCUCAUCUCCCUCCGUGAGUGAGUGGGUAAUGUUUAACUCGUACGAAAAACAGCUUCAAUAUUCAAUUACUACUACUCCAUUGCAUGAUUUUAAUUUUAAACCGCAAAUUCUUAACUAAAAGUUUUAAUGACAUUACUGUUCGUUUGUUCAAAAGUUUUUUUGGUUAAUGUUUUUCAUACAAGCAAUACUGGGGAGGAGAAAUUAAACACACGGCUCGGGAUGUAGGUAAAUCAAGUGCCCCCAGCUCUGAGCAACUCCAUCCUGAAUGAUCAAAUAUGAGCUUGUACUUCAAUUCCUUUUUUUUUCCUUAAAACAAACCUUUAAAAGUGCAUUAAUAAGGAAAAUCAAACCAACACAGAAACAAGAAAGUUCAAACAGAGAGAACAUGUUAAAAACAGAUCAAGCAGGAAGUUUCCUAACCAAAAAGACAAACUGUAUCUGCAAACUAGCUGAUUAAACCAGGAAGUUUCCUAGCUUACAUGGUCAUCGUGGUCGUCGUCAUCAUCUUGGUUGUCAUCACCCUCGUCAUUAGUAUCAUCGUCGUCGUCAUCCUCACUAUCAUCCUCAUCAUCAUUUUCAUAAUCCUCAUGAAAAUCUUCAUCAUUUUCGGUGGGAAUUUCUUCUAAGGCCCUACCGUAAGGGAUAGGAUAGUAACGAUAGUACAAACGACCUUCGAAAGUCUUGUCACACACUAAACGUACCCCUGUUUUCUUCACCAUGAACUCACUACGUAAACGUACCCCUGUUUUCUUCACCAUGAACUGAUCACUACGUAGAAUCUUUGCAAUAACGAGGACCAAAUCGCCUUCUUCGAAAUUGAACUUAUCUUCCCAUAACGGUAUAUGCCCCAGCCAAAGGUACUCUCCACCGCAAGCUGGUGGGCUCAUUAGGUCGACAAAAAAACUAGUACGCUUGGUGUGAUUAAUAACACAAAUGAAACAAGAACCAAAAAACACGCUGUCGACAUCAAUAAAAGAACGAUAAGCCAUGCACACAGCCAACGCUUUUGCAUUACAACCAAUUUCCUUAGGCACUUCGAAAGAGACUUGGGUACCCUCGUUGACAUGAUUGAACCAAGUGGGAAUUUGUCUUCCUACAAGAGUCUCAUGUAUCCAUCUCCUGUCCAUCCCUAUACCAUGUUGAACAAGAUUUGUGUGAGUAAUACAUGCAUAACACACAUAUGCGAGGGAAGGAGGAGAGGGGGUGCUGUGGAAGAGAGAGAGAACCUGUAGCGUGCUAUCCUUAAGAAGGAAAUCCAUGACAUUGUUGUGUGUUAACAUAUCAAGUCUGAGGCCCGAGUUUAACGCACUCUCCAAGCCUGGAAACUCAAUGAGUUUGGGGGAACCGAGAUACACGAUUGUCGACAUGCCUGAAAAAUCUGACAUUCUUUCUAAUGCAGAGCAGUCCUUCAUCUCCAAGAUACCCAAACUUUUUGGUAAAUCUGUGAUCUCGACAAGGUUUCUGCAACUAUCCAAGCGUAGUUCAAUAAGCAUGGACAGGUCACCGAGGCUUGGAAGGCUCCGAAAAUUAUUGUUGCCUAGAAAUAAGUACUCUAAACAAGGUAGACUACUCCCAAUAUCAUUAGGCACUUCCAUUAAAUUGCAGUGUCUCAAAGAUAACUCUGUUAAAGAGCCUAAGCCUCGUAAGGAAGGUAGCUGCAAAGGACACUUCAAGUAACUCAAAGAUAGGCACUCGAGCUUCUCCAGUCGUACGAUGGAAGGUGGUACUUUUUUUAUGGCCGUCCCAUCAGCAAAAAGAGUGACCAAUGAUGCCAUUUUUCCCAAGUGCUCAGACAAGCUUCGGAAUCUUGAACAACCAUCGAGAACAAGAGUUUUGACAGAUUUCGACUUGUAGAAAUUCCUCGGGAGAGCCUUAAGCGUUUCGCAGUCUUUCAAAUUCACCAACACAAGACUCUUGAGAUCUCCGAUGGACUUGUGAACUUUAGCCAACCUCUUACAGUCUUUGAGUAUCAAUUUCUCAAGAUUUGGGAAUUUUGAAAAGUCUGGCGAUUGUGUUAAAUCGUGGGAGUGGCUGAGAUUCAGAAUCUUCAACUUACCAAGCAACUGUUACGAAAAAUCAAAUUUAAAUAAAAAAUUUAAAUCCAAAAAGAAGAUACAGAGAGCAUAAAAAUAAUUCAUAAUUUUGUUCAGGUUACGCAUUGUACUUACCCCAGAAUACUCACAAAGAACUUGUUUGAGGCUGCUGUACCGCAUGUCGAUAGCGACUAUGUUUGGUUGACAUAGUUCUAUAGGUAUGAACUCCAAUGGGAAUCCAUGCCAGCACAACCAUCUUAAUUUUUUGGAAAGACAUUGGUAUCCCCCAGCAAGCCGAACGUAGUUUAGUUGGAGCAAUCUCAGUCCCUUCAUAUUUCUAAAUGCCUCAGUACUGAAACUAGUCUCUUCAAGGCUCAGCAUGUUCAAAGCCAGACCACCAAUUUUUUCAGUUCCCUGCUAUCCGAAAAACAGACUCUAAAUAAGAGAAGGCUUUGCAUGAAAAAAAGUUCGAUUACUUAUACUUCUCUUUCAUUACGUACACGUUUAACAUAAAGUUCAAUUGGGAAAGUACUUACAGAUUUGUCUAUCAACACAGCAUUUACAUCUUCAGGAUGCCACAAUCUACUUCGUUCUCCAGCGAAAUCAGGAUUUUCUGCAUGCACGAUAUCUCUGCCCAUAUCGCGAAGCAAAUCAUGCAUCAUCAUCUUGUUUUUGCCAUUAAUAGUUACAAGGCACCGAUCAAGGAGGACCUUGAUUCCUGCUGUUGCAUAAAGGCCACAACCAUCCAAGAUUUGUAUGACAUCAUUCUUGUCCAUUCCGAUAAAAAAACAAGCUAUAUCAAGGAAUAUCCCCCUCUCGUAAUCAUCAUUUAGCCCGUCGUAGCUUAUUUUCAGCUGUGCCUGAAUUUUUCCAGGAGGAAUUAUUUUCAAUUUAUCCAAUAUACUUUUCCAUUCUACUACACUUCCUUCGAAAAGAGUAGAUCCUAAAAUUUGAAGAGCCAACGGCAGUCCUCCACAGUAAUUGACAACUUCUUUUGCAAGCUCGAGAUAUUUACUAGGACAACAACUACUUCUGAAAGCAUGCCAACUUAGGAGCUCAAGAGCUUCUUUUCGAUCCAUUCUUUUUGCCGGAAAUAUCAUAUCAACUGCUAAUUGUUUCAGUAUAUGUUUGUUUCUUGUUGUGAUGAUAAUUCUGCUCCCCGGGCCAAAAGAGUGGCGAUUUCCAGCUAAUUCGUGUAGCUGCUUCACAUCGUCUACAUCAUCAAAUAUGACAAGUACCUUUAAGCAUUGAAAUCUUUCCCCUACCAAGGCGGUCCCUGCAGCAACACUGCUUACCUUUGUCUUGGUCGUUUGCAAGAUAUCAAAAAGAAGUUGUUUUUGCAAUUUUUCUAGUUUCUUUUCCCUCACUUUUUCAAGGAAACUUUUACCUUCAAACAUUUCAUAAAAUUUGUUAUAAAUGGCUUUUGCAAUCGUUGUUUUACCUAUUCCACCCAUACCUGUAAUUCCAAUCACGCGAACAUCAUCCGAACAUCCGAUGCCUAAACAUUUACUGAUAUCUAGCACUCGAGAAUCUAUUCCGACUGGGUAGGGCGCUACGUCUAAAUAUUUGUUGUUCAGCUUCGUAGUGACUUCAUUAGUAAUCAUCCUGAUAAACUUUGCUUCAUGCCUGGCAUUAGUGAAGUUGAGAAGCAAAACGAAGAUUGUUAUACAACUACAAGACGAAAUUGAACUAAUACACAAAAUUAUUUAUCAUGAUUAGAGAUUUUAAUUAAGACAAUUUUCUUUGAGGUGUUGUGCUUAAACUUAGCAGACAUCAAUUAAACUUAAAAUUAAAUAAGAAACACAAACAAACAAAACCAACAUCCCCACCGCAGGCAUUCGCCGGCGGCUUCCCAGCUGUGACUAGUGUAGCCUUAACAGUUUAAGCUUUAUUGUAUGAUUUUAUUAAAAGAGGUCUAAGAAAUCGCAUGCUUCCAAAUUAAUAAGCAAAGGUACGUUAAAGCCUUAAUUCAUAAGAAAAGAAAUUAGUAAGUACCCGUCCAAAGUGUUUCUGAGAUCCCAGCCAGACAAAUUCGAAGCUUCAUUAAGAGCGGUUCUCCACCUCUCUAACUUCCACCUCUCUACCUUCUUUUCAUCUGUAUGUUUCAGAAACGAUUGUGCAAAACUACCAUUCUGUUUCCUGACAUGGGAAGGAUCAACGUCAUAGAAUAUUGGCAAAACUAAUUGCCCUAGCGUUCUUCUACAUUCCAUGAUCUUAACCAGCUCCUCGAGACACCAACUGGAGUCCGCGUACCAUUUUGAGAAGACGAUGAUAGAGAUCCUAGAACCCUGGAUUGCCCGCACAAGUUCGGUAGUUAUAUCUUCUCCUCUUCUUAGUUCUUCGUCGUCAAUAAAGGCGUUGAUUCCGGCCUUUGUCAAUGCUUCGUGGAGGUGGCCCGUGAAGUUUUUACGUGUGUCUUCGCCUCUGAAGCUUAUGAACACUUCGUAAAGCGAGCCUUUUGAGGAGGACGAUGACGAGGAGGCAGAGGAGAACGAUGAGGAUGAGGAUGAGGGCAAGGAGGUGGAGGAGGCAGAGGAGGAAGAUGAGGAUGAGGGUGAGGGCGAGGAGGCGGAGAAGGACGAUGAGGAUGAGGGCAAGGAGGAGGACGAGGACGAGGCUUUAUCGGGGAUGGAGAUAUUCAUUUGGCGAAAGACGAGGCCGAGGGAGCAGAGGAGGAAGAUGAGGACAUCAAAGACAAGACUGGAAUUGCGAGCCACAAAGUGGUAGGGCACUAACACCAGCACCAGAGUUAACAACUUCCCUAAGCUCAACCAAGAUAUAUCGCGGAAUAUCUCCCUCUCGUAGUCAUCAUUCAACCCUUUGUAACUUAUUUUCAGCUGUUCCUGAAUGUUAUCAAGAGGAAUUUCUUUCAAUUUAUCCAAUGUACUUUUCCAAUCUCCUAUGCUUCGGUUGAACAGGUUAGAACCUAAAACUUGAAGAGCCAAUGGCACUCCUCCACAGUAAUUGACAACUUCUCUUGCAAGCUCAAGAUAUUGACUAGGACAACAACUACUUCUGAAAGCAUGCCAAUUUAGGAGCUCAAGAGCUUCUUCUCGUUUCAUUUCUAUCGCCGGAUAUACCAUAUCAACUGCAAAUUCUUUUAACACAUGUUCGUUUCUUGUUGUGAUGAUAAUUCUGCUCCCCGAGCCAAAAGAAUGGCGAUUUCUAACUAAUUCCUGUAGCUGCUUCACAUCGUCUACAUCAUCAAAUAUGAAAAGUACCUUUAAGCGUCGAAAUCUUUCCCCUACCAAGGCGGUCCCUGCAGCAACACUGCUUACUUUUGUCUUGGUGGUUUGCAAGAUAUCAAAAAGAAGUUGUUUUUGCAAUUUUUCUAGUUUCUUUUCCCUCACUUUUUCAAGGAAACUUUUACCUCGAAACUUGUCAGAAAAUUGAUUAUAAAUGGCUUUAGCAAGCGUUGUUUUACCUAUUCCACCCAUGCCCAAAAUUCCAAUCACCCGAACAUCAUCUGAAUCUCCGAUGCAUAAAUAAUUACUAAUAUCUUGCACUCGAGAAUCUAUUCCGACUUGGUAGGGCGCUACGUCUAAGUAUGUGUUGUUCAGCUUCCUAGUGACUUCCUCAGUAAUCAUCCUGAUAAACUUGGCUUCAUGCCUGGCAUUAGUCAAGUUGAGAAGCAAAACGAAGAUUAUUAUACAACUACAAGACGAAAUUGAACUAAUACACAAAAUUACUUAUUAUGACUAGAGAUUUUAUUUAAGACAAUCUUCUUUGAGGUGUUGUGUUUAAACUUAGCAAACAUCAAUUAAAAAUUCAAAUUAGAAACACAAACAAACAAAACCAGCAUCUCUUCCCUCUGCAGCCAUUCGACGGCGGCUCUCCUGCUGUGUUAGUGUAAGCUUAACAGUUGAAGCUUUAUUGUAUGAUUUUAUUAAAAGAGGUUUAAGAAAUCUCAUGCUUCCAAAUUAAUAAGAAAAGGCACGUUAAAGCCUAAAUUCAUAAGAGAAGAAAUUAGUAAGUACCCGCCCAAAGUGUUUUGGAGAUCCCAGCCAGACAAAUUCGAAGCUUCAGUAAGAGCAGUUCUCCACCUCUCUUCCUUCCAUCUCGCUACCUUCUUUUCAUCUAUAUGUUUCAGAAACAAUUGUCCAAAACUGUCAAUCUGCUUCCUGACAUGCGAAGGAUCAAUGUCAUAGAAUGCCGGCAAAACUAAUUGCCCCAGCGUUCUUCUACACUCCAUGAUCUUAACCAGCUCCUCGAGGCACCAGCUGGAGUUCGCAUAUUGUCUAGAGAAGACGAUGAUAGAGAUCUUGGAACCUUGGAUUGCCCGCUCAAAUGCGGUUGUUAAUUCUUCUCCCCUUUUUAGUUCUUCGUCGUCAAUAAAAGCAUUGAUUCCAGCCUUUGUUAAUGCUUCAUAGAGGUGGCCCGUGAAGUUUUUACGUGUGUCUUCGCCUCUGAAGCUUAUGAACACGUCGUAGAGCGAACCUUUUGAGAAGGAGGACGAGGACAAGGAGGCGGAGGUGGACGAUGAGGAUGAGGAUCCGGGUGAGGAGGAGGAGGACGACGAGGCUUUAUUGGGGACUGAGGCAUUCACUUGGUGAAAGACGAGGCCGAGGGAGCAGAGGAGGAAGAUGAGGACAUCAAAGACAAGACCGGAAUUGCGAGCCGCAAAGUGGUAGGACACCAACACCAGCACCAAAGUUAACAGCUUCCCUAAGCUCGACCAGGUAUCCAUUUCCUUCAUUUUCUUUAGGCAAAUUGAAGGUUUUUGGAGAGGAUCCUCUCCGGACCCAAACCCACCGGAGCCUCCGGAUCUUCCUCCUUCUUCCUUCUUCUCUGCAGAUUUCCUUCUUCCUUCUUCUCUGCAGAUUUGGUUCUGCUUCUUCUUCAAUUCUUCUUCUUCAAUUAUGCAUCUUCUUCUUCACUUCCUUCUUCCUUCUUUGUUUGUGUAUCGGAAAACUUUCUUCUUCAAUUAUGCAUCUUCUGCAUCUUCUCCGACAACCAGCUCCGAGGAAGUCACGACGCCGGCUUCGGGAAAGCACGACGCCGGCUCCGGGAAAGCCCAAGAUGCCGACGAAGACGGAUCCGGAUGCUCCGGUGGGUUUGGGUCCGGAGAGGAUCCUCUCCCAAGGUUUUUGGCGAUAUUGAUUUUCUUUC
rnacentral:lncRNA from 1 species